rnacentral:rRNA from 1 species
UACGUAGGGGGCAAGCGUUGUCCGGAAUUAUUGGGCGUAAAGAGCGUGUAGGCGGUCCGGUAAGUCAGCUGUGAAAGUCAAGGGCUCAACCCUUGAAAGCCGGUUGAUACUGUCGGGCUAGAGUCCGGAAGAGGCGAGUGGAAUUCCCGGUGUAGCGGUGAAAUGCGCAGAUAUCGGGAGGAACACCAAUGGCGAAGGCAGCUCGCUGGGACGGUACUGACGCUGAGGAGCGAAAGCGUGGGGAGCGAACAGG